rnacentral:rRNA from 1 species
CAGGUGCUGCAUGGCUGUCGUCAGCUCGUGUCGUGAGAUGUUGGGUUAAGUCCCGCAACGAGCGCAACCCUUGUCAUUAUUGCCAUCAUUCAGUUGGGCACUUUAAUGAGACUGCCGGUGACAAACCGGAGGAAGGUGGGGAUGACGUCAAGUCCUCAUGGCCCUUAUGGGUAGGGCUUCACACGUCAUACAAUGGUCGGUACAGAGGGUCGCCAACCCGCGAGGGGGAGCCAAUCCCACAAAGCCGAUCGUAGUCCGGAUCGCAGUCUGCAACUCGACUGCGUGAAGUCGGAAUCGCUAGUAAUCGUGGAUCAGCAUGUCACGGUGAAUACCGGUUCCCGGGUCUU